UGAUCAACAUUAUGUUGAUACACAGUCAUAUGAUAUGUUUAACUAAGACUUUUAUCUCUUUACAAUAUUUCUACUAUUUAGUUUUCAAUGUGCUUGAAUGAAUGCGAUGCAGUGCAUUCUUAAAACAAGUUUAUAAAAUUUCCGGUGGCGACGCUGUGAGUAUGAGGUGAUAACAAGCCGAAGGCGCAGUUAGAGCCCAUAGCGAAUGUGUUUCGUACUUGACAGCCGGAAAGAAGCAGGAAGCAUAGCGACCUGUACAAUUAAAUAGUUUAUAAAAUUUCCGGUGGCGAUAGCUAGAGGGAUCCACCUGUUCCCAUUCCGAACACAGAAGUUAAGCCUCUAUACGCCCAAAGUACUUGGCUGGUGACGGCCCGGGAGGAUAGGUAGCUGCCGGAU
rnacentral:rRNA from 1 species